rnacentral:rRNA from 1 species
ACGUACACUCCUGCGGGAGGCAACAGUGGGGAAUAUUGGACAAUGGGCGCAAGCCUGAUCCAGCCAUGCCGCGUGAGUGAUGAAGGCCCUAGGGUUGUAAAGCUCUUUCACCGGUGAAGAUAAUGACGGUAACCGGAGAAGAAGCCCCGGCUAACUUCGUGCCAGCAGCCGCGGUAAUACGAAGGGGGCUAGCGUUGUUCGGAUUUACUGGGCGUAAAGCGCACGUAGGCGGACUAUUAAGUCAGGGGUGAAAUCCCGGGGCUCAACCCCGGAACUGCCUUUGAUACUGGUAGUCUUGAGUUCGAGAGAGGUGAGUGGAAUUCCGAGUGUAGAGGUGAAAUUCGUAGAUAUUCGGAGGAACACCAGUGGCGAAGGCGGCUCACUGGCUCGAUACUGACGCUGAGGUGCGAAAGCGUGGGGAGCAAACAGGAUUAGAAACCCGUGUAGUCCCAUG